AAGAAAGUAAGAAAGGGUACACGGGGGAUGCCUUGGCUCUCAGAGGCGAAGAAGGACGUGAUAAGCUGCGAUAAGCUGCGGGGAUUAGCAAAUAUGAAUUGAUCCGCAGAUUUCCGAAUGGGGAAACCUAGUUAUUUGAAGAAUAACUGCAUAAAUGCGCUAACCUGCCGAACUGAAACAUCUAAGUAAGCAGAGGAAGAGAAAACAAUAGUGAUUUCCAGAGUAGUGGCGAGCGAAAUGGAAGAAGCCCAAACCUGUUAUGUUACGGCAUAGCAGGGGUUGUAGGACCACAACAUGAAUAUUAAAUAGAACCGGAAGGGGGUGGGAAACCCUGCCAUAGAGCAUGAGAGCUGCGUACGGGUAAUAGAUAAUAGGAUAGUGGUAUCCUGAGUACCGCGAGGUCGGAGACGCCUUGUGGGAAUUUGCCGGCACCAUCCGGUAAGGCUAAAUACUCCUGAGAGACCGAUAGUGAACCAGUACCGUGAGGGAAAGGUGAAAAGAACCCCGAACAGGGGAGUGAAAUAGAACCUGAAACCGUGUACUUACAAGCGGUCGGAGCCUGGUAACGGGUGACGGCGUGCCUUUUGCAUAAUGAGCCUACGAGUUACUCUUCCCUGGCAAGGUUAAGUGUUUAAGACACGGAUCCGAAGCGAAAGCGAGUCUGAAAAGGGCGUAUAGUCAGGGGAGGUAGACGCGAAACCUUGUGAUCUACCCAUGGGCAGGUUGAAGGUGCCGUAACAGGUACUGGAGGACCGAACCGAUAAACGUUGAAAAGUUUCCGGAUGACUUGUGGGUAGGGGUGAAAGGCUAAUCAAACUGGGAAAUAGCUCGUACUCCCCGAAAUGUUUUUAGGAACAGCCUGGCGGUUGAGUUAUAAAGAGGUAGAGCUACUAAUUGGGUGCGGGGGAGUCAAAUCCUACCAAAUCCAGAUAAACUCCGAAUGCUUUAUAAUAUACGCUGGAGUGAGGCUAUGGGUGCUAAGGUCCAUGGCCGAGAGGGAAAGAACCCAGACCAUCAGCUAAGGUCCCUAAAUUAUUGCUAAGUUGAACUAACGAGGUCCGAUUGCACAGACAGCUAGGAUGUUGGCUUGGAAGCAGCCAUUCAUUUAAAGAGUGCGUAACAGCUCACUAGUCGAGCGAUCGGGCAUGGAUAAUAAACGGGCAUCAAGCAGUAUACCGAAGCUAUGGAUUCACAGUAAUGUGACUGGUAGGGGAGCAUUCUAUU
rnacentral:rRNA from 1 species